UGGGGAAUCUUAGACAAUGGGGGAAACCCUGAUCUAGCCAUGCCGCGUGAUUGAUGAAGGCCUUAGGGUUGUAAAGAUCUUUCGACGGGGACGAUAAUGACGGUACCCGUAGAAGAAGCCCCGGCUAACUUCGUGCCAGCAGCCGCGGUAAUACGAAGGGGGCUAGCGUUGUUCGGAAUUACUGGGCGUAAAGCGCGUGUAGGCUGACUAGUCAGUCAGGGGUGAAAUCCCAGGGCUCAACCCUGGAACUGCCUUUGAUACUGCUAGUCUGGAGUCCGGUAGAGGUGAGUGGAAUUCCGAGUGUAGAGGUGAAAUUCGUAGAUAUUCGGAGGAACACCAGUGGCGAAGGCGGCUCACUGGACCGGUACUGACGCUGAGACGCGAAAGUGUGGGGAGCAAACAGGAUUAGAUACCCUGGUAGUCCACACCGUAAACGAUGAAUGCCAGCUGUCGGGUUGCUUGCAAUUCGGUGGCGCAGCUAACGCUUUAAGCAUUCCGCCUGGGGAGUACGGCCGCAAGGUUAAAUCAAAGGAAUU
rnacentral:rRNA from 1 species